AAGAAAGAUGUACAUGUGUUGUUGCUAUUGACACUGGUGGGUGUUCCAAUCUCAUAGGUGGGCUGCAUGAUCUAGGUUGCCGUUACAUGAGUGUGCUAGCGCUUGUGGCGAAAUAUGGACUCUGAGGUAUUUUCCUCACAAUGUCUUGUAAUCCAAAGUGAGUAGAAAUUCAAAGUUGAUCAUUUCCUAUUGAAAACAAUCAUAAUAGAGUUGAUUAGUAUGCAAGAGUUUUCGGAGCAAAAAUUGAGUACUAGAAAAAGGAAAUUGUAAUAGACUCGUUGUUUUGGGUGGUUGCUGCUUAUUUUUAUGUGGUCAAAUUUCAGAAAAUAGGACUUCCACAUAUUCAUUGCAGUGGUUGCCGAGCAAAAUAAAGGUGAGUGUAAUAAAGGUGAAUAUUCCACAUGAAACAACGAUGUUAAUAGUCGAAUGAUGUCAUCAACGAUAUAGGAAAGUAUGCAAAUACAUUAUUGUUUGUCAUUAUUAUUUUCAUUACUACUACUACU
rnacentral:lncRNA from 1 species